UACGUAGGGAGCAAGCGUUGUUCGGAUUUACUGGGCGUAAAGCGAGUGUAGGCGGUCUGCUAAGUCGGGUGUGAAAGCCCCGGGCUCAACCCGGGAAGUGCACUCGAAACUGGCAGGCUAGAGUACUGGAGAGGUUGGUGGAAUUCUCGGUGUAGAGGUGAAAUUCGUAGAUAUCGAGAGGAACACCGGUGGCGAAGGCGGCCAACUGGACAGAUACUGACGCUGAGACUCGAAAGCGUGGGGAGCAAACAGG
rnacentral:rRNA from 1 species